rnacentral:rRNA from 1 species
UACGUAGGGUGCAAGCGUUAAUCGGAAUUACUGGGCGUAAAGCGUGCGCAGGCGGCUUUGCAAGACAGAUGUGAAAUCCCCGGGCUUAACCUGGGAACUGCAUUUGUGACUGCACGGCUAGAGUGCGGCAGAGGGGGAUGGAAUUCCGCGUGUAGCAGUAAAAUGCGUAGAUAUGCGGAGGAACACCGAUGGCGAAGGCAAUCCCCUGGGCCUGCACUGACGCUCAUGCACGAAAGCGUGGGGAGCAAACAGG